UGUUGUUUUCUGUUGGUAAAUAUUUUGUUGAGGAUUUUUGCAACCUUGUUCAUCAGGGAUACCAGUGUGUAGUUCUCUUUUUCUGCUGUGUCUAUAUCUGGCUUUGGUAUUAAAGUGAUAUUGGCUUCACAGAAAGAUUUUGGAAGGAUUGUCUCCCUUUUUGUUAUUUGGAAUAGA